ensembl:misc_RNA Metazoa_SRP Metazoan signal recognition particle RNA
GCUGGGCAUGGUGGUGCGUGCCUGUAAUCCCAGCUACUCAGGAGGCUGAGGCAGGAGAAUCACUUGAACCUAGGAGGCAGGGAUUGCAGUGAGCCAAGAUUGCACCACUGCAUUCCAGCCUGGGUGACAGAGCGAGACUCUGUCUCAA